ACAGGAAAGGGAAAAAGGCGUA
rnacentral:miRNA from 2 species